GAUGAAGAACGUAGCGAAAUGCGAUAAGUAAUGUGAAUUGCAGAAUUCAGUGAAUCAUCGAAUCUUUGAACGCACAUUGCGCCCGCCAGUAUUCUGGCGGGCAUGCCUGUUCGAGCGUCAUUUCAACCAUCAAGCCCCCGGCUUGUGUUGGGGACCUGCGGCUGCCGCAGGCCCUGAAAACCAGUGGCGGGCUCGCUAGUCACUCCGAGCGUAGUAAUACAUCUCGCUCAGGGCGUGCUGCGGGUUCCGGCCGUUAAAAGCCUUAUUUACCCAAGGUUGACCUCGGAUCAGGUAGGAAGACCCGCUGAACUUAAGCAUAUCAAUAAGGGAGGA
rnacentral:misc_RNA from 1 species